rnacentral:lncRNA from 12 species
AGAGGAAAGAGUCGACGUGCUGUUGAGUCUUCGCUUUGGGUUACUGAGGGACUGGCAGGUAUCAAAAGCAGGGAAGUGGGAACAUGGAGUUUCUCUGGGGUCGGAGACCAUGGUAGAUACGUGAAGUUGGCUCAGAAGCCCCCGCUGCGUGUCUACAUCCUGGAGUACAGGCCGCCUGGAUUGCAUGCUUUGGCAGAAACACCGCAAGAUGCAUCGGAUAUUCUCUCGAUGCAAGAAAAGCCCAACACUUGAAGACUCAGAGACUGGCAGAGGCACCACUGUACAAAUAGCACUGCCUAUGCAGCAAGUGCUAUAGAAGAGGUAUGACCACACGACAAUGAGCAGAGCUAUGUCUGAGGUGUCCCUCGAUGCUUCAGCAGGACUUUCAUGAAAGAUGUAAUCAAGGAGACACCAGAUGUCAUAGCAUCCUAAUUGCUGUAGAUAAUCAUCAAGAGCUUAAAGGCGUUGUACGUGCAUGUGAAACAUUUACUGGUGGCCUGGUUCCCAGGCAAGAACAUGGAAACAGCUGUUUCACUGGAGUGUAAGUUCCUAUGGUUAAGGGGAUAUGUUCUUUCUAAAUCAGAUCAAAUGAAUUAACUUUUAAAAUAAAAAUUGUCCUUCUGU